rnacentral:rRNA from 1 species
AGUGAACGCUGGCGGUAGGCCUAACACAUGCAAGUCGAACGGCAGCACAGUAAGAGCUUGCUCUUACGGGUGGCGAGUGGCGGACGGGUGAGGAAUACAUCGGAAUCUACUUUUUCGUGGGGGAUAACGUAGGGAAACUUACGCUAAUACCGCAUACGACCUACGGGUGAAAGCAGGGGAUCUUCGGACCUUGCGCGAUUGAAUGAGCCGAUGUCGGAUUAGCUAGUUGGCGGGGUAAAGGCCCACCAAGGCGACGAUCCGUAGCUGGUCUGAGAGGAUGAUCAGCCAAACUGAAACUGAGACACGGUCCAGACUCCUACGGGAGGCAGCAGUGGGAAAUAUUGGACAAGGGGCGCAAGCCUGAUCCAGCCAUACCGCGUGGGUGAAGAAGGCCUUCGGGUUGUAAAGCCCUUUUGUUGGGAAAGAAAAGCAGCAGGUUAAUACCCCGCUGUUCUGACGGUACCCAAAGAAUAAGCACCGGCUAACUUCGU